UACGAAGGGGGCUAGCGUUGCUCGGAAUUACUGGGCGUAAAGGGCGCGUAGGCGGAUGUCUAAGUUGGGGGUGAAAGCCCGGGGCUCAACCUCGGAACUGCCUUCAAUACUGGACAUCUUGAGUACGGGAGAGGUGAGUGGAACUCCGAGUGUAGAGGUGAAAUUCGUAGAUAUUCGGAAGAACACCAGUGGCGAAGGCGACUCGCUGGCCCGUUACUGACGCUGAGGCGCGAAAGCGUGGGGAGCAAACAGG
rnacentral:rRNA from 1 species